CUGCACCUGAUAAUACUGCAGCCCUCUGCUCUCUCCUUGCUAUCUUUAUAGUCACAAGGAGACUGGGACAGUUUAAUCUCACUCUUAGAGCUGCUGCUACUGGAAUGGGGGUGGCCACCACCAGUGAAGUUUCUUGUUACCUCUGGAGGUAAUGGUUCUCUCUCCCUGGAUGUCUUUAAGUAAAGUCUAGAAACCUACUAAGACUUCCUCUUGAUUCUCCAAUUAUAACAUCCUAAGUAAUGUCCAUCUGAGCCCAAAUGACCUCAUAGUAUCCAGGAUCAUAGACAUCAUGGUAUUGACGGCUAGAAGUCAUACAGCAACACUGGUCAAUAUUAACAACAACAACAACAACAAAAAGAUGUGCCUUUCUUUCUGGAGAAGUUUGGACUUUUAAGAAGCUUUGAAAUUUCCUAAAAGCAAUUCAACCAGCUGUUCUUGUUCUGUUUGAUUCCAAGUCCAAUUCAUUUUUCAUUUGUGUUGUUUGUCCUGCACAUAUGUACUGGUGGAAGCUCUUAACGUCAUCCUCUGCAUAUCAAUAGACAUUCUUUAUCCAUUUAAUUUUUCUUGUGUCCUUUGCCUCAAUUUUUACCUAGUCUUAAUCUAGAUUAAAAAUCUUUUACCUAGUCUUAAAUGGACAUU